ensembl:lncRNA
GUGAACUCUGGGAGUUGAUGAUGGACAGGGAGGCCUGGCGUGCUGCGAUUCAUGGGGUCACAAAGAGUUGGAUAUGACUGAGGGACUGAACUUAACUGAACUGAACUGAAUCCUAUUCGUGAGAAAUCAGUUUAACAACCACUGUUAGGGAGCAAAGUUUGCUACCCCAAAAUGUCUUUUCAGCAUGCAAAGUAUUUCCAGCUGUAAACAAUCCAGGCCCAGAUGCCUGGGUGCAGGGCUGAUAGGGAGGGACUUUCCCUUUAGCUAUCUCAAGAAUUUAAACAGAAGGUCUAUUCCCAGAAUAGACCAGAAUAGACCAGACACAUCUAUAAAGAACUCUAGAUAAGUGUUCGGUUCAGUUCAGUGGCUCAGUCGUGUCUGACUCUUUUCGACCCCAUGAAUCGCAGCACGCCAGGCCUCCCUGUCCAUCACCAACUCCCAGAGUUCACUCAAAGUCACGUCCAUUGAGUCAGUGAUGCCAUCUUAUCUUCUGUCGUCCCCUUCUCUUCCUGCCCCCAAUCGUUCCCAGCAUCCGGGUCUUUUCCAAUGAGUCAACUCUUCGCAUGAGGUGGCCAAAGUACUGGAGUUUCAGCUUUAGCAUCAUUCCUUCCAAAGAGAUCCCAGGGCUGAUCUCCUUCAGAUAAGUGUGGUGAGGGGGAAUUUUAGGCAGAGCCUAAAAGUCAGUCUAUUCUAUGUCCCAUUGUCUUUGCCUGGCCCAGUGAACAUUUUUUCUUUUUCAACCAAACAUUUGCUUUUACAUCUCUGUGUCAGUUGCCUUCCUCACCUUUGAAGUCCCAAAUCACUACCCUCAACAUUCUUUUGUCUUUAGCAGAAGAUGGUGAGAGUUUUGGCCAUUUUGAUGAACCAGAAGAACCUAGAAGGAUGGACGAGAGUUUCUUCCUCCACAAUGCCACUCAAAGCUUCCACCUUCGUACACUACCACAUUGAGCAUUAGAUUUCCAACAUGUGAACUGAUGGUGAACAGAAACUUUCAGACCAUAGCAUUAUUCACAGAGAUUGGAACUUUCCAACAAGCCACCAUUCUGACUUGGACUAAAGAAAGAUGUCAAAACUGAUUAGUCAUCUUCUCAGUCAGUAAAGAGUCUCCCUGCAGUGCGGGAAACCCGGGUUUGACCCCUGUAUUGGGAAGAUUCCCUGGAGAAGGAAAUGGUGACCCACUCCAGUAUCAUUGCUUGGAAAAUCUCAUGGAUAGAGGAGCCUGGUGGGCUACAGUCCAUGGGGUUGCAAAGAGUUGGGCACAACUGAGUGACUAACACUUACUUACUUACUUAUGAAGGUAAUGUUUUAAGCAAAUGGCAAUUAUUUGAGAAAGUUGGACAACAUAGAAGAAGUUUGAUGAAAAUGGAAGAAGAUCUGUCAUUGAAGAAGAGUACAGUAUGACUAAAUCUAAAGAUCAUGAGAUUCCAGAUACAAAGAGAAAUGACAGUGUUGUCAUUUAUAAAAGACAACAAAGAUGAGUGGUAAUAGGAUGUUAUUUGAUUUGCCAAGAAGAUGGUUAUUGGUAAUAUUCUUAAAUGAUAGUAUCAGAGAAAUAUUGGAGUUGGGAGCCUGAUUGAAUAUUCUUAAGAAUUUAGUUAUGAACAAGUAACAAAAAUGAAAAUAUUCCAUUCUAUAAAGAAUAUUGACUGUCAAGAAAAAUAGAAAACAGUAAGCCAAUAAGACAGCAUGUUGAUGGAGGAUGUUUUGGGGAAUUAAGGAAUCAUAUUUGCUUUCUCAUGUCUCUCCCCUAACUGCAUAAUUAUAUCCAUCUGCACUAGAUAUUGUAACCAUCACUUUUAUCCUCUCUUUGCACACCUGAAUAGAAGCUCUUAUAUCCCCAGAACUUUUUGUAUGGACCCACAUGAUAAUCUUCCAUUUUAUAUUUUCUUUUUCCAUGUACAUUUCUCCAACUGAACUAUAAACUCUUGAGUAAGAGUUCUAUGUUUUAUUUGCCUCAAUAGUCACAGAAACUCAUUAGAGAUCAAUAAAUGACUCAAUCAAUUAUUUUUCAUAUUUAUUAUAUUUAAAUUAUUUCUAUGUUUACUUUUGAUCAAUAAAAGACUCAGUCAAUUAAUUUUCAUAUUUAUUAUAGUUAUAAUUAUUUCCAGCAUUUACUUCAGAUAAAUGUUUAUGAAAAUGGUAGAAAAUGGAAAAACUGAGAUAUUGAAAAUUGUAUUCUACUUAGAUGCAUAAAAGUUUCACGAUAUACAAACUGUAAAACAAAUGUGGUGCUGGUAGUCCAAAUGCAAAGUUCUAUUUUUUGACAAACCAUUAUGUACUUCUAAUAUAAUCUACAUUUCACUCUUCCCUAGGUUACACUAUAAAUCUAGAGGUUCCAUUGGUUUAGGCACUGGGGUUGCUGACCUGAUUUCCUGAAAAAUAUUUACUUUUACAAAUUAAAAAAAAAUAAAGAUCAUGAAAAAUACUCAUAAAUUCUUGAAAAAC